UAUUAAAAAUUUCAAUUAUUUCUAUUGUUAAAAACUGAUGUGGUUGACAAAAUAAUUAAACAGUUACACGUGAUGUGCUAUGUGUACCUCAUGUUGACGUACAAUGGCCAAUUUUUAACGUUGAAAAUAGAUGGAAUUUUUAACA
rfam:Gossypium raimondii Chr04_contig_33, whole genome shotgun sequence.